UACAGAGGUCUCAAGCGUUGUUCGGAUUCAUUGGGCGUAAAGGGUGCGUAGGCGGCGCGGUAAGUCGGGUGUGAAAUCUCGGAGCUUAACUCCGAAACUGCAUUCGAUACUGCCGUGCUUGAGGACUGGAGAGGAGACUGGAAUUUACGGUGGUAGCGGUGAAAUGCGUAGAUAUCGUAAGGAAGACCAGUGGCGAAGGCGGGUCGCUGGACGUUCCUGACGCUG
rnacentral:rRNA from 1 species